GGUAUAUACCAAGAAGAAGGAUUGCUGGGUCAUAUGAAUUAAGAACUGUCUACAGAAAGCCACACGUGAAACCACUUUCAAAAUGACUUUAAUCAUGUUUUGCUGCCCAAAUACUGUACAUGCAGAAGCCAUGUGAAGAAUUUUCUCCCAGGGGAAUUGGCAAGAACGUUGUAUGAAACAGCCGGCAGUCCCUCCCAGCUGUCCACCUGCCACCCAGGAACCACAAGUUUGGAAAGAUGCUGCACAUAGAAAAUGUAUAGAGCACAGAUAUAAAAGGCUAAUUGCUUCUUA